GGAUUAGAUACCCUGGUAGUCCACGCUGUAAACGAUGUCUAUUAGGAGUCUGUGCCCUUGAGGCGUGGGUUCCAAAGCUAACGCAUUAAAUAGACCGCCUGGGGAGUACGGCCGCAAGGUUAAAACUCAAAUGAAUUGACGGGGGCCCGCACAAGCGGUGGAGCAUGUGGUUUAAUUCGAUGCAACGCGAAGAACCUUACCAUCCCUUGACAUCCACGGAAGCCAGCAGAGAUGCAGGUGUGCCUUCGGGAACUGUGAGACAGGUGCUGCAUGGCUGUCGUCAGCUCGUGCCG
rnacentral:rRNA from 1 species